AACGAACGCUGGCGGCAGGCUUAACACAUGCAAGUCGAACGCGUGUAGCAAUACACGAGUGGCGCACGGGUGAGUAACGCGUGGAUAUCUGCCUUUUGGUUCGGAAUAACCCCGGGAAACUGGGGCUAAUACCGGAUGGUUCCUUCGGGAUAAAGAUUUAUCGCCAAAAGAUGAGUCCGCGUACGAUUAGCUAGUUGGUGAGGUAAUGGCUCACCAAGGCGACGAUCGUUAGCUGGUCUGAGAGGACGAUCAGCCACACUGGGACUGAGACACGGCCCAGACUCCUACGGGAGGCAGCAGUGGGGAAUAUUGGACAAUGGGGGCAACCCUGAUCCAGCCAUGCCGCGUGAGUGAUGAAGGCCUUCGGGUUGUAAAGCUCUUUUGGCGGGGACGAUGAUGACGGUACCCGCAGAAUAAGCCCCGGCUAACUUCGUGCCAGCAGCCGCCGUAAUAC
rnacentral:rRNA from 1 species